UGGAGAUUACUCUUCUUGGAGUCUUCUCAGCGAGCCUAGGAUAAGGGUAUCCCAGCAGAACAGGACAGGCUGCCUACAGAUUACUGCUGCAAAGAACGUGAUAGAGUUUUGGACUGCACCUUAAAUUUCAAGCAACAAGACAAUAGGAAGGGCUUGGCAGAUCUAACUAAUCUGGCUUCAGCUUGGGUUUGUGGAAGCUGAGGACUCCGGCAAGGUAUCUGUAGAGCAAAACAAAUGCCCAUUUUCUCAAGAAUGCUCAGUUAUUGUACAGUCUGUCCUCACAUGGACUGAAAGAUACAAGUACAGAUGAGUUUCAUGAAGUUGUUAAAGCAACAGUUUUUAAAAUAGUGUGUGUGUAUAUAUAUAUGUCUUUCUUCAGCACUUAAAUACUGUGAUACCUUCUGUCUGAAGCAUAGUGAUGUAUAGUGAAUAUAUCCCCAAUCAGUAUGUAUUCUGAUACAUCUGCCUCAUCUUAAUAUCAAUAUCAGUGAUAUCGUAAAGAUGAUAUAUAUUAUUAGUAGAAUUAUUCACUUGAGUGAAUGUGGAAUUCUGCUUAAAUCAUGAAUAUAUAAUAUUGCCCUAACUUCUUUGACAUUUGCAGUGAAUAACCAUCUCUCAGUUUUUGUCACAGCAAUUUCUGCUGUCAGAUUUAGCCAUUGUCCUCAUAUGAAAGCCUCAUUUGUAAUAUUACCGUCUGUCCAUCACAAUGAAAAAAAGGCUGGCUUUCACCCUUAACCUAUAAUAUAUAUUUUUUGUUUAUAAAAACAUGCCAUUAGCCACACAACAAACAGUUCUUACGUAUUAGCUGAUACAUAAUAAUCUCUCUUGCAUACUACAUUGUUGCAAUUAAAACACAAAAAAAGUAAA